rnacentral:tRNA from 1 species
GCCCAGGUGGUGAAAUUGGUAAACACGCUAGCUUCAGGAGCUAGUGCCGAAAGGCUUGGGAGUUCAAAUCUCCCCCUGGGCA